CCGAGGAUAUUUUGCUUUCGUUUGUCGUUUCGCUGGUCACUGGCAGCGAGCUAUAUGUGUGGUACCAAUGGAAUGUACUAGGUGGACUUGCUCUAAAAGUGGUACUGAUGAAGAUCUGCUUGCAAACGUUCAGUUAUUACAGAAUCAGCUGAGGAGAACUGAAAAAAACCUUCAAACAGUAGAGAAAGAGCUUUCCAGUACAAAUGAACAUUACGGCCACUGCUUUGCUGAGGCGACAGACUUCGCUCUGGAGGAUUUUGUACAACCUAAUUAUAACAGUCAAGGCUUUUCCAACCCCAAGAAGAAUUGUGGUAAAACAUCUGACCAAGAUUUUCAAAGAAAACCCAAAUCUUACUCAGUAUCCACAACUUCAGAUAAAACUGUGGAAGAAAAUGAACGUCUUCAAGAGCAAAAUGCAUCUUUGACUUCUCAGAACCACUACCUAAAGAACAGAGUGGAAACAAUGAACUUUGAAUUGAUGCAGUCAAAAACAAAAAUUUCGUAUCUUGAAUCCACUUUAGGUACGCAUUUAUUCAGCGUUCCGAAGUUGAAAGAACAGAUUUUAAACUUGGAAGCAGAAGUUUCAACUCAAAAUAAAAUUCUGAAAGAUGCAGAAGAUAGGCUAGAUCAAAACCGGAAAACAGCACUGGAAAGAGAAAACAUGUUGCAAAGAUAUCAAAAGGGCUAUAAAAAUCUGAAAAUGGAGUUAAUUGAACGGAGCAAGCAAGGAAAGAGAGCAGAACAGCAAAGAAAUGAAGCUUUGUUGAAUGUGAAGGAGCUGACAAGAGCUUUCAAAAAGUAUAAAGCAGAAAUAACUGAAAAAUUAGAAAAGGUUAAAGCUGAAGAAUUAGUCUUGGGAAAACGUUUAAUUAAUUGUGAAAAAGAAAAAGAGAAGUUGAAUGAAAAAUGUAUCAGCUACAGAAAGGAUCUAAACAUCCUAGAAGAGCAACUAAGGCAAUUAAAGGAAGAGAAUAGUAGCACAAAAGAAGAAAUUAAGACUCUAGAGGCAAAGAACGCUGAAAUUACAUCAAUGCUGAGUCGGUCUGAUCAGAAGAUCAUCAAGCUUGAGAGUGAACUUUCUGAAAAAGAAAAUGUGCUUAAAGAGCAAAAUGCUCUAAUAAGUGAAAAUGCAGAGCUGAGAGCACUUACUGCACAGCAACAUAACCACUUGAAAUUAUGUCAUCAAGAAAUUGAGAAUUCAAGGGAAGAGCUCAACAUACUAGAAACCAUUAUUUCUCAGUUGUCUUCAAGUACAUCUGAAGAGUUUAAAUGGCACCAUUUCAAACACCAGCUUUUGAGUUCCUCAACAAAAGAAGUUAUUUCAGAGUCUUGUGGUGAAUCAAGUAAACCUUUGAUUGCAGACCUAAGCAUUAAACUGUCAAUGAAAGAAGCUGAAAUGCAAAAGCCUCGUGCAAACUUAACUAUCUGUACUGGAGCUGAGCAUCUGUCUAAUGAUAAUGAAGGACAAGAAAAUAGCAGGUCAUGUGGCCUGGAAACAGAGCCUGUCAAAUUGAUCAGAAGUCAAGGAGAGAGGAGAAAAUGCCAACAGUUGGAACUUAUAAGCAAGCAAUUUGAAAAGAUGAGGCGAAGAUUCCAGAAAGAGAUAGAAGAGUUACGCACUAAACUGACAAAAGCAGAUGAUGAAAAUUCUUCUUUGAAGAGCAGCAUGGCUCAAAGGACCAGCCAGUUUCAAAUCAUACAGGAAGACCUACUGAAGAAGGCUUCAAAAACUAGUAGCUUAGAGAAAGAAAUGAGAAAGAAAUCUUCUCAACUUUCUGAACUUGAAGAACAGUUGGAAGAAAAGACUAUUGCUUAUUCCACUGCUGCAGCAAGAAAUGCUGAGUUGGAACAGGAACUCAUGGAAAAAAGCAGACGCAUUCAUGAGUUGGAAGCAACUAUCAGUGAAGAACAUAAGAAAAUAAAUUCUGCUUUUGAAAAUGCAAAGUUGGUACACCUUGAGCAGCACAAAGAGAUGAAGAAACAGAUAGAACUACUUCAGACACAGCUGGAGCAGAAACAUCAACAAUUCAUUGAACAAGAGAAAAUAAUAUCUGUUUUACAACAAGAGGUUAUACAUAAACAGCUUCAUUACAUUGAAUCAUUGGAUGGGCUGCUGAUAGGAAGCAGAGAGCUUCAUUAUUUGCAGAAAGAAAUAAAAAUAAAAGAUCAGAAUAUUCAGGACACGAGUGAACAAACUGUUCUACAAACUUUGCUUCAUCAUCAGCAAAUGUUACAGCAAGAAACUAUUAGAAAUGGGGAGCUGGAAGAUAAUCAGAUUAAACUCGAACAACAGGUAUCCACUUUGGAAAAGGAGCUUCAGAAUCAGAAAGCAUGUGCAGCAGAUGAGUUGAGAAAGGUGGAGGAGAAACUUCGCUUUGCUGCUCAGGAAGCAGAUUUAAACGGACAGAAGGUGGAUGAACUGAAUUGUACAAUCAGGCAGAUUAAAUUGGAGAUGGAUCAGUGCAAGAAUGAACUUAUUGAUAUGGAAAAAGAAGUAGUGCAAUUACAGCAAGAUGGUGAAAACAAAACAGUGCAGAUAAAUCAGUUGGAUAUCACUUUGGAAGAAGCAAGAUCAGAGCUCAAUAAAAAGGCAAAUGAGGUGAAUGAUUUAGAAGAUAAGCUGCUUCAAAGUGAGACUUGCCACAGGGAAGCCUUACAGAAAAUAGCAGAACUAGAAUCUGCAUUACACAAUGCCCGUGGAGAAUUAAAAAUCACUUUAACACAGCUUCAGGAAUUGCAAGAUGCAUUACAGAAUGCACAGUCCUCUCUGGAGGAGAAGCACAUUGCUAUCAUGGAGCUAACAACUGAGCUCAGGUAUUGCAAGGGUGAAGUUGAAGACAAAAAACAAGAACUCCUUGAAAUGGACCAAGCACUGAAAGAAAGGAAUUGGGAACUGAAACAAAGAGCAGCUCAGAUUACACAGCUGGAUAUGACAGUUCGUGCAUAUAGGGAAGAAAUGGAACAACAAAUAAUUCAAUUACAGUGCAAUUUAGAAAAGUCAGAGUUGGAAAUCAAGGAAUGCAAUAAAAAGAUUGAGAGCUUAGAGAAGAAACUUCAGCAUUCUAAAGAUCAGCUUCGUGAAAAAGAGUUUGAAUUGCUCCAGAGAGACCAAGAAAUAAAUCAGCUGAAGAAAAAAAAAAUCAAAGAAAACAACAUAGCCUAGAAGCUCUUGAAAAGCGAGGGUCUUGUAACAAUUCAGCACUCUGCUACCCUUCGAAGUUGGGCAAGAACUGUGAAGAAAUGAAUGUUGCCCAUUGGACAAGCAGCAACCCAGGAAUGCUACUGCUGGCAUCAUUAUUGUGCAUUCCAAGAGGAAAUGUUAAUGUUGUAUUUCUAAAGAAGGAAUGCAGUUAUUUGUACUGAAGCAGAUGAUACCCUUUUUAUUUUUCCAGCUGUUUUUAAGAUUAUUGCCUUGAUUUAAUAACAUAUUAAUUUAUUUUUUCAUACUUUAAAAAAAAUUAUUUCUCUUAAGUUGUAGGAAUUAAUUUCAGCUCUUGUCUUUUUCCAAGGAUUUUGAAUGGUGUACUUGUUUCGUAUCUCACUUCUAAUUAAAAACACAAUGGUAUUAUUAAGAAUUUUUGUUUGGGAAUAUUUUAUCUUCUUUUUUUGUACAUAUGCAGUGUUGCAGACACAACAUCUUAUUAAAAUUGACCUGUUUGCAAGAUGUUUUAGGACACUGAUUUGAUCACAGACACUGGGAAAACCUGCUUGCUUUAUUCCAAGCAGUAUCUUUAAAAUGCAAAGGAACAAGGCCAUAAAGCUUUCUGAGCUUUGAGCUUUUUUUAUUUCUAACAAAAAUCCCUACAAAAAUUAUCAUAGAUUAAAAUGGCAUCAUAAUUAUGCAUUCUAAAACAUAUUUAUUUCCAUUUUUCCAAAAGUACUACACAAUUUAGCUGUACGAAUGCCUGGUGGCUCCACUUUUAUAUUUAUAUGAGCAUCAGAAACUGCAAAUGUGGUUAUGAGGCCUCAAUCUGAGUCUGAAUAAUGCAUACAUGAUUUAUGUGCAUUAAGACGUGAUUCAUACUUCAGAAAAUCAAGUUAAUAAAGUUACUUGACUUGAGGAACAGAAUUGAAUGUGUUGCAAUUUAAAUCCUAGGCCUCAGUUAAGUGUUUUGUACAUUAAAAGUGAAUCUUGGCCAACAAAUAUAUCUAUUGUGUUUCUGCAACUCUGCAAGUGGUCCUGUGCCAAAGUCCUUGGGCAGUCAUAGGCCUUUCAUUGUUUAUGUAAACACGUUCCACAAAUGCCACACUCUAAGUGGUUCUACAAAACCAGCCACACAUUCUGCUACCAUUGACAAGGUCAAGAUACACUUAUCUAAAAUAUUUCUGCAGUUUCAGAUUAUUUAAUCUGCUAUUAUGAAAAUUAUGAUGUAGCGAAAAAUACUGUUCCUUACAGAAAUAUAUUGCGUGUUUUACAUCAAGCUGUACGUUUCUCUACAUAAUAGUAAAGGAAAAACAUUAGAAUUAGGUUGACUGGUGUAACAAUUGCAAAUUAAACUAUUAUUUUUUCCUCUUUAGGCACAUCACUUUGCCUUCAGGCUAGAAUUCUAUGCACCAAAUUUCAGACAGAUUUUUUUUAAAGCAGUGGAACAUAUAAGCCCU